rnacentral:rRNA from 1 species
GUGCCAGCCGCCGCGGUAAUACGUAGGGGGCAAGCGUUGUCCGGAUUUAUUGGGCGUAAAGGGCGUGUAGGCGGCCUGGUAAGUCGGGGGUGAAAACUCAGGGCUCAACCCUGAGACUGCCUUCGAUACUGCUGGGCUUGAGUGCUCUAGAGGGUAGUGGAAUUGCCGGUGUAGCAGUGAAAUGCGUAGAGAUCGGCAGGAACACCAGUGGCGAAGGCGACUGCCUGGGGAGUAACUGACGCUGAGGCGCGAAAGCUGGGGGAGCAAACGGGAUUAGAUACCCCGGUAGUCCCAGCCGUAAACGAUGAGUGCUAGGUGUGAGGGGUAUCGACCCCCCUCGUGCCGCAACAAACGCAAUAAGCACUCCGCCUGGGGAGUACGGCCGCAAGGUUGAAACUCAAAGGAAUUGACGG